UUAAGCGACUAAGCGUACACGGUGGAUGCCCUGGCAGUCAGAGGCGAUGAAGGACGUGCUAAUCUGCGAUAAGCGUCGGUAAGGUGAUAUGAACCGUUAUAACCGGCGAUUUCCGAAUGGGGAAACCCAGUGUGUUUCGACACACUAUCAUUAACUGAAUCCAUAGGUUAAUGAGGCGAACCGGGGGAACUGAAACAUCUAAGUACCCCGAGGAAAAGAAAUCAACCGAGAUUCCCCCAGUAGCGGCGAGCGAACGGGGAGGAGCCCAGAGCCUGAAUCAGUGUGUGUGUUAGUGGAAGUGUCUGGAAAGGCGCGCGAUACAGGGUGACAGCCCCGUACACAAAAAUGCACAUACUGUGAGCUCGAUGAGUAGGGCGGGACACGUGGUAUCCUGUCUGAAUAUGGGGGGACCAUCCUCCAAGGCUAAAUACUCCUGACUGACCGAUAGUGAACCAGUACCGUGAGGGAAAGGCGAAAAGAACCCCGGCGAGGGGAGUGAAAAAGAACCUGAAACCGUGUACGUACAAGCAGUGGGAGCACGCUUCGGCGUGUGACUGCGUACCUUUUGUAUAAUGGGUCAGCGACUUAUAUUCUGUAGCAAGGUUAACCGAAUAGGGGAGCCGAAGGGAAACCGAGUCUUAACUGGGCGUUAAGUUGCAGGGUAUAGACCCGAAACCCGGUGAUCUAGCCAUGGGCAGGUUGAAGGUUGGGUAACACUAACUGGAGGACCGAACCGACUAAUGUUGAAAAAUUAGCGGAUGACUUGUGGCUGGGGGUGAAAGGCCAAUCAAACCGGGAGAUAGCUGGUUCUCCCCGAAAGCUAUUUAGGUAGCGCCUCGUGAAUUCAUCUCCGGGGGUAGAGCACUGUUUCGGCAAGGGGGUCAUCCCGACUUACCAACCCGAUGCAAACUGCGAAUACCGGAGAAUGUUAUCACGGGAGACACACGGCGGGUGCUAACGUCCGUCGUGAAGAGGGAAACAACCCAGACCGCCAGCUAAGGUCCCAAAGUCAUGGUUAAGUGGGAAACGAUGUGGGAAGGCCCAGACAGCCAGGAUGUUGGCUUAGAAGCAGCCAUCAUUUAAAGAAAGCGUAAUAGCUCACUGGUCGAGUCGGCCUGCGCGGAAGAUGUAACGGGGCUAAACCAUGCACCGAAGCUGCGGCAGCGACACUAUGUGUUGUUGGGUAGGGGAGCGUUCUGUAAGCCUGUGAAGGUGUACUGUGAGGUAUGCUGGAGGUAUCAGAAGUGCGAAUGCUGACAUAAGUAACGAUAAAGCGGGUGAAAAGCCCGCUCGCCGGAAGACCAAGGGUUCCUGUCCAACGUUAAUCGGGGCAGGGUGAGUCGACCCCUAAGGCGAGGCCGAAAGGCGUAGUCGAUGGGAAACAGGUUAAUAUUCCUGUACUUGGUGUUACUGCGAAGGGGGGACGGAGAAGGCUAUGUUGGCCGGGCGACGGUUGUCCCGGUUUAAGCGUGUAGGCUGGUUUUCCAGGCAAAUCCGGAAAAUCAAGGCUGAGGCGUGAUGACGAGGCACUACGGUGCUGAAGCAACAAAUGCCCUGCUUCCAGGAAAAGCCUCUAAGCAUCAGGUAACAUCAAAUCGUACCCCAAACCGACACAGGUGGUCAGGUAGAGAAUACCAAGGCGCUUGAGAGAACUCGGGUGAAGGAACUAGGCAAAAUGGUGCCGUAACUUCGGGAGAAGGCACGCUGAUAUGUAGGUGAAGCGACUUGCUCGUGGAGCUGAAAUCAGUCGAAGAUACCAGCUGGCUGCAACUGUUUAUUAAAAACACAGCACUGUGCAAACACGAAAGUGGACGUAUACGGUGUGACGCCUGCCCGGUGCCGGAAGGUUAAUUGAUGGGGUUAGCGGUAACGCGAAGCUCUUGAUCGAAGCCCCGGUAAACGGCGGCCGUAACUAUAACGGUCCUAAGGUAGCGAAAUUCCUUGUCGGGUAAGUUCCGACCUGCACGAAUGGCGUAAUGAUGGCCAGGCUGUCUCCACCCGAGACUCAGUGAAAUUGAACUCGCUGUGAAGAUGCAGUGUACCCGCGGCAAGACGGAAAGACCCCGUGAACCUUUACUAUAGCUUGACACUGAACAUUGAGCCUUGAUGUGUAGGAUAGGUGGGAGGCUUUGAAGUGUGGACGCCAGUCUGCAUGGAGCCG
rnacentral:rRNA from 2 species